UACGGGGGGGAGCAAGCGUUGUUCGGAUUUACUGGGCGUAAAGGGCGCGUAGGCGGUCAGCACAAGUCAGUUGUGAAAUCUCCGGGCUUAACUCGGAAAGGUCAACUGAUACUGUGCGACUAGAGUGCAGAAGGGGCAACUGGAAUUCUCGGUGUAGCGGUGAAAUGCGUAGAUAUCGGGAGGAACACCGGUGGCGAAGGCGGCCCCCUGGUUGGAUACUGACGCUGAGACGCGAAAGCGUGGGGAGCAAACAGG
rnacentral:rRNA from 1 species